AUACUUACCUGGUGUCGGGCUCUCCGGUGAUCAUUGCGGCCGGGGCCCCGUGCCGAGGCCUACCAUCGCACUGCGGGGGGGCUGAAUCACGCCACUAUCCCAAACCGGGAUAGGUGGGGCAUGCAAUUUUUGGUAGUAGGGCUCGGCGUACGCGCCAGCCUCUA